rnacentral:siRNA from 1 species
UACUACAAGUCUACAAGGUGUCAA